rnacentral:rRNA from 1 species
GACGAACGCUGGCGGCGUGCUAAUACAUGCAAGUAGAACGCUGAAGCUUGGUGCUUGCACCGAGCGGAUGAGUUGCGAACGGGUGAGUAACGCGUAGGUAACCUGCCUGGUAGCGGGGGAUAACUAUUGGAAACGAUAGCUAAUACCGCAUAAGAGUAGAUGUUGCAUGACAUUUGCUUAAAAGGUGCAAUUGCAUCACUACCAGAUGGACCUGCGUUGUAUUAGCUAGUUGGUGAGGUAACGGCUCACCAAGGCAACGAUACAUAGCCGACCUGAGAGGGUGAUCGGCCACACUGGGACUGAGACACGGCCCAGACUCCUACGGGAGGCAGCAGUAGGGAAUCUUCGGCAAUGGACGGAAGUCUGACCGAGCAACGCCGCGUGAGUGAAGAAGGUUUUCGGAUCGUAAAGCUCUGUUGUAAGAGAAGAACGAGUGUGAGAGUGGAAAGUUCACACUGUGACGGUAUCUUACCAGAAAGGGACGGCUAACUACGUG